rnacentral:rRNA from 1 species
GGGUUGUGAGGUUAAGCGACUAAGCGUACACGGUGGAUGCCCUGGCAGUCAGAGGCGAUGAAGGACGUGCUAAUCUGCGAAAAGCGUCGGUAAGGUGAUAUGAACCGUUAUAACCGGCGAUGUCCGAAUGGGGAAACCCAGUGCAAUUCGUUGCACUAUCGUUAACUGAAUACAUAGGUUAACGAGGCGAACCGGGGGAACUGAAACAUCUAAGUACCCCGAGGAAAAGAAAUCAACCGAGAUUCCCCCAGUAGCGGCGAGCGAACGGGGAGCAGCCCAGAGUCUGAAUCAGCUUGUGUGUUAGUGGAACGGUCUGGAAAGUCCGACGGUACAGGGUGAUAGUCCCGUACACCAAAAUGCACAGGCUGUGAACUCGAAGAGUAGGGCGGGACACGUGGUAUCCUGUCUGAAUAUGGGGGGACCAUCCUCCAAGGCUAAAUACUCCUGACUGACCGAUAGUGAACCAGUACCGUGAGGGAAAGGCGAAAAGAACCCCGGCGAGGGGAGUGAAAAAGAACCUGAAACCGUGUACGUACAAGCAGUGGGAGCACCUUCGGGUGUGACUGCGUACCUUUUGUAUAAUGGGUCAGCGACUUAUAUUCUGUAGCAAGGUUAACCGUAUAGGGGAGCCGCAGGGAAACCGAGUCUUAACUGGGCGUUAAGUUGCAGGGUAUAGACCCGAAACCCGGUGAUCUAGCCAUGGGCAGGUUGAAGGUUGGGUAACACUAACUGGAGGACCGAACCGACUAAUGUUGAAAAAUUAGCGGAUGACUUGUGGCUGGGGGUGAAAGGCCAAUCAAACCGGGAGAUAGCUGGUUCUCCCCGAAAGCUAUUUAGGUAGCGCCUCGUGAACUCAUCUUCGGGGGUAGAGCACUGUUUCGGCUAGGGGGUCAUCCCGACUUACCAACCCGAUGCAAACUACGAAUACCGAAGAAUGUUAUCACGGGAGACACACGGCGGGUGCUAACGUCCGUCGUGAAGAGGGAAACAACCCAGACCGCCAGCUAAGGUCCCAAAGUCAUGGUUAAGUGGGAAACGAUGUGGGAAGGCACAGACAGCCAGGAUGUUGGCUUAGAAGCAGCCAUCAUUUAAAGAAAGCGUAAUAGCUCACUGGUCGAGUCGGCCUGCGCGGAAGAUGUAACGGGGCUAAACCAUGCACCGAAGCUGCGGCAGCGACACUAUGUGUUGUUGGGUAGGGGAGCGUUCUGUAAGCCUGCGAAGGUGACCUGUGAGGGUUGCUGGAGGUAUCAGAAGUGCGAAUGCUGACAUAAGUAACGAUAAAGCGGGUGAAAAGCCCGCUCGCCGGAAGACCAAGGGUUCCUGUCCAACGUUAAUCGGGGCAGGGUGAGUCGACCCCUAAGGCGAGGCCGAAAGGCGUAGUCGAUGGGAAACAGGUUAAUAUUCCUGUACUUGGUGUUACUGCGAAGGGGGGACGGAGAAGGCUAUGUUAGCCGGGCGACGGUUGUCCCGGUUUAAGCAUGUAGGCUGGUUGUCCAGGCAAAUCCGGAUAAUCAAGGCUGAGGUGUGAUGACGAGGCACUACGGUGCUGAAGUAACAAAUGCCCUGCUUCCAGGAAAAGCCUCUAAGCAUCAGGUAACAUCAAAUCGUACCCCAAACCGACACAGGUGGUCAGGUAGAGAAUACCAAGGCGCUUGAGAGAACUCGGGUGAAGGAACUAGGCAAAAUGGUGCCGUAACUUCGGGAGAAGGCACGCUGGUGUGUAGGUGAAGUCCCUGCGGAUGGAGCUGAGACCAGUCGAAGAUACCAGCUGGCUGCAACUGUUUAUUAAAAACACAGCACUGUGCAAACACGAAAGUGGACGUAUACGGUGUGACGCCUGCCCGGUGCCGGAAGGUUAAUUGAUGGGGUUAUCCGUAAGGAGAAGCUCUUGAUCGAAGCCCCGGUAAACGGCGGCCGUAACUAUAACGGUCCUAAGGUAGCGAAAUUCCUUGUCGGGUAAGUUCCGACCUGCACGAAUGGCGUAAUGAUGGCCAGGCUGUCUCCACCCGAGACUCAGUGAAAUUGAACUCGCUGUGAAGAUGCAGUGUACCCGCGGCAAGACGGAAAGACCCCGUGAACCUUUACUAUAGCUUGACACUGAACAUUGAGCCUUGAUGUGUAGGAUAGGUGGGAGGCUUUGAAGCGUGGACGCCAGUCUGCGUGGAGCCAACCUUGAAAUACCACCCUUUAAUGUUUGAUGUUCUAACGUUGGCCCCUGACCGGGGUUGCGGACAGUGUCUGGUGGGUAGUUUGACUGGGGCGGUCUCCUCCCAAAGCGUAACGGAGGAGCACGAAGGUUAGCUAAUCCUGGUCGGACAUCAGGAGGUUAGUGCAAUGGCAUAAGCUAGCUUGACUGCGAGCGUGACGGCGCGAGCAGGUGCGAAAGCAGGUCAUAGUGAUCCGGUGGUUCUGAAUGGAAGGGCCAUCGCUCAACGGAUAAAAGGUACUCCGGGGAUAACAGGCUGAUACCGCCCAAGAGUUCAUAUCGACGGCGGUGUUUGGCACCUCGAUGUCGGCUCAUCACAUCCUGGGGCUGAAGUAGGUCCCAAGGGUAUGGCUGUUCGCCAUUUAAAGUGGUACGCGAGCUGGGUUUAGAACGUCGUGAGACAGUUCGGUCCCUAUCUGCCGUGGGCGCUGGAGAAUUGAGGGGGGCUGCUCCUAGUACGAGAGGACCGGAGUGGACGCAUCACUGGUGUUCGGGUUGUCAUGCCAAUGGCACUGCCCGGUAGCUAAAUGCGGAAGAGAUAAGUGCUGAAAGCAUCUAAGCACGAAACUUGCCCCGAGAUGAGUUCUCCCUGAGACUUUAAGUCUCCUGAAGGAACGUUGAAGACGACGACGUUGAUAGGCCGGGUGUGUAAGCGCAGCGAUGCGUUGAGCUAACCGGUACUAAUGAACCGUGAGGCUUAACCUUACAACGCCGAAG